rnacentral:rRNA from 1 species
UACAGAGGUCUCAAGCGUUGUUCGGAUUCAUUGGGCGUAAAGGGUGCGUAGGCGGCGUGGUAAGUCGGGUGUGAAAUCUCGGAGCUUAACUCCGAAACUGCAUUCGAUACUGCCGUGCUUGAGGACUGGAGAGGAGACUGGAAUUUACGGUGUAGCGGUGAAAUGCGUAGAUAUCGUAAGGAAGACCAGUGGCGAAGGCGGGUCUCUGGACAGUUCCUGACGCUGAGGCACGAAGGCCCAGGGGGAGCAAAACGGG